GGUGGUUUGUCGCGUCGUCUGUGAAAUUCCGGGGCUUAACUCCGGGCGUGCAGGCGAUACGGGCAUAACUUGAGUGCUGUAGGGGAGACUGGAAUUCCUGGUGUAGCGGUGAAAUGCGCAGAUAUCAGGAGGAACACCGAUGGCGAAGGCAGGUCUCUGGGCAGUAACUGACGCUGAGGAGCGAAAGCAUGGGUAGCGAACAGGAUUAGAUACCCUGGUAGUCCAUGCCGUAAACGGUGGGCGCUAGGUGUGGGGGUCUUCCACGACUUCUGUGCCGUAGCUAACGCAUUAAGCGCCCCGCCUGGGGAGUACGGCCGCAAGGCUAAAACUCAAAGGAAUUGACGGGGGCCCGCACAAGCGGCGGAGCAUGUGGAUUAAUUCGAUGCAACGCGAAGAACCUUACCUGGGCUUGACAUAUGCCGGAUCGGAGCAGAGAUGCGUUUUCCCUUGUGGUCGGUAUACAGGUGGUGCAUGGUUGUCGUCAGCUCGUGUCGUGAGAUGUUGGGUUAAGUCCCGCAACGAGCGCAACCCUUGUCUUGUGUUGCCAGCACGUUAUGGUGGGGACUCGCGAGAGACUGCCGGGGUUAACUCGGAGGAAGGUGGGGAUGACGUCAAAUCAUCAUGCCCCUUAUGUCCAGGGCUUCACACAUGCUACAAUGGUCGGUACAGUGGGUUGCUACACCGUGAGGUGGUGCUAAUCCCUUAAAGCCGGUCUCAGUUCGGAUUGGAGUCUGCAACUCGACUCCAUGAAGUCGGAGUCGCUAGU
rnacentral:rRNA from 1 species